CCCUUAGAUGUUCUGGGCCGCACGCGCGCUACACUGAUGCAUUCAACGAGUCUAAAACCUGCUCUGAUAGGGGUGGGUAAUCUUUUGAAUGUGCAUCGUGAUUGGGAUAGAUGAUUGCAAUUUUUCAUCUUCAACGAGGAAUGCCUAGUAAACGCAAGUCAUCAGCUUGCAUUGAUUACGUCCCUGCCCUUUGUACACACCGCCCGUCGCUCCUACCGAUUGAAUGAUCCGAUGAAUAUCAUGGAUUGAGGAUGUAAGCAGGUUCGCCUGUCUUCAUCUUCGAGAAGUGAAGUAAAUCUUAACAUUUAGAGGAAGGAGAAGUCGUAACA
rnacentral:rRNA from 1 species